UACGUAGGGGCAAGCGUUGUCCGGAAUCAUUGGGCGUAAAGAGCGUGUAGGUGGCUCGGUAAGUCCGCUGUAAAAGUCCAGGGCUCAACCCUGGAAAGCCGGUGGAAACUGUCGAGCUAGAGUCCGGAAGAGGCGAGUGGAAUUCCUGGUGUAGCGGUGAAAUGCGCAGAUAUCAGGAGGAACACCAAUGGCGAAGGCAGCUCUCGUGGGACGGUACUGACGCUGAGACGCGAAAGCGUGGGGAGCGAA
rnacentral:rRNA from 1 species